GAUCCUGGCUUAGGAUGAACGCUGGCGGCAGGCUUAAUACAUGCAAGUUGAACGGUAACAUGUUGUAGCAAUACGAUGAUGACGAGUGGCGCACGGGUGCGUAACACGUGUGUAACCUACCUUAUACAGGAACAUAACGUUGAGAAAUCGGCGCUAACAUUCCAUAAUAUUAUUUGUAGGCAUCUAUGAAUAAUUAAAACUCCGGUGGUAUAAGAUGGGCACGCGUUCCAUUAGCUAGUUGGUAAGGUAACGGCUUACCAAGGCAACGAUGGAUAGGGGUUCUGAGAGGAUAAUCCCCCACACUGGAACUGAGACACGGUCCAGACUCCUACGGGAGGCAGCAGUAAGGAAUAUUGGGCAAUGGAGGCAACUCUGACCCAGCCAUGCCGCGUGCAGGAAGACGGCCCUAUGGGUUGUAAACUGCUUUUAAUAGGGAUUAAAGUCGACUACGUGUAGUUGUUUGCAAGUACCUAUAGAAUAAGCAUCGGCUAACUCCGUGCCAGCCGCUGC
rnacentral:rRNA from 1 species